rnacentral:rRNA from 1 species
CCUACGGGAGGCUGCAGUGGGGGAUAUUGGACAAUGGGGGAAACCCUGAUCCAGCGACGCCGCGUGAGUGAAGAAGUAUUUCGGUAUGUAAAGCUCUAUCAGCAGGGGAGAAAGAAAUGACGGUACCUGAGUAAGAAGCCCCGGCUAACGACGUGCCAGCAGCCGCGGUAAUACGUAGGGGGCAAGCGUUAUCCGGAAUUACUGGGUGUAAAGGGAGCGUAGACGGUAAUGCAAGUCUGGUGUGAAAGGCGGCGGCCCACCCCCCGGACUGCUCUGGACACUGGGUGCCUGGAGUGCAGGGGAGGCAGGCGGAAUUCGUGGUGUAGCGGUGAAAUGCGUAGAUAUUAGGAGGAACACCAGUGGCGAAGGCAGCCUGCUAGACUGUAACUGACGUUGAGGCUCGAAAGCGUGGGGAGCAAACAGGACUAGAUACCCUGGUAGUC